AAUCAACGCUGGCGGCGUGCCUAACACAUGCAAGUCGAACGCGAAAGUGGAGCAAUCCAUGAGUAGAGUGGCAAACGGGUGAGUAACGCGUGGGCGACCUACCUCUGAGUGGGGGAUAACCUUCCGAAAGGAGGGCUAAUACCGCAUGACAUCCCGUGUUUGGAUACACGGACAUCAAAGCCGGGGAUCGCAAGACCUGGCGCUUGGAGAGGGGCCCGCGUCCGAUUAGCUAGUUGGUGAGGUAACGGCUCACCGAGGCUCCGAUCGGUAUCCGGCCUGAGAGGGCGGACGGACACACUGGAACUGAGACACGGUCCAGACUCCUACGGGAGGCAGCAGUGGGGAAUUGUUCGCAAUGGGCGCAAGCCUGACGACGCAACGCCGCGUGGAGGAUGAAGACUUUCGGGUCGUAACU
rnacentral:rRNA from 1 species